rnacentral:tRNA from 1 species
GGGAGCGGCUUGUGCCUGGUGGUGCGCCUGGACUUCAAAUCCAGCGGGAGGCGUGAAGAGCGUCUCCGGUGGGUUCGAUUCCCACACGCUCCCGCCA